rnacentral:rRNA from 1 species
CAACAACGGAUCUCUUGGUUCUGGCAUCGAUGAAGAACGCAGCGAAAUGCGAUAAGUAAUGUGAAUUGCAGAAUUCAGUGAAUCAUCGAAUCUUUGAACGCACAUUGCGCCCUCUGGACACUCCGGAGGGCAUGCCUGUUCGAGCGUCAU